GGGUUUGAUCCUGGCCCCGCUCGAACGCGUGUAGGUGGUCUGACACAUGCAUGUCGUAGAUGUUUCUAUUUGAAAACGUCUGGCGUCCGGGUGAGUGAUCACGGGCGAUCUGCACAUCUUUGGGAGUCAAUCUCUCGAGACUUCGCGAACUUCAAAAUCGCGAAGCUUCAGGCAAUGGUUCGCGUUUACGCGAACUCUGUAGAACGUUCGUUCUACAGGUCCGGGAUGGAGGACACCCGUGCGGAUUAGGUAGUUGGCUCGGUGACGGCGGGCCAAGCCCUGGAUCCGGAACUAUCCUCAGUGGGGGAAUGGUCACAGCGGGACUGAAACAUGGCCCGCCCGCUUUGGCGGCAGCAGUGAAGAAUCUUUGACAAUGGGCGAAAGCUUGAUCGAGCCUACCUAUGAGAGACAUCUCUCUAUACGGGAGAUUAAAGAAGGCCAACGCGUCGUAAAUCUCAUAAUUCAUGGUAAUCUACGGAUCUAUCCAUGGAUUCUGUCCCGGCCAAUUCUGUGCCAGCAGCCGCGGUAAGACAGGAGGGGCGAGCGUUGAGCGUUUGUACUGGGCCUAAAGCGCGGGUCGGUGGGUUCGAAAACCAACUUCGCGUCGUAAGAGAUUUACGUUCGCGUAAACGCGAACGACGCAGAAAGGCCCUCCGCGCUCGGAGGAGUUUCUAGAGUGAAAUUCGAACCUGGGGUCCAUGAAAGGUUGACAGAAUGACCCAAGGACCGGUAGAAUGGGAAGAUAUGGGUUGGAAUCUCGACGGCGAAGGCAGUCAUCUGACAUGGCACCGACACCCAGCCGCGGAAGCGUGGGGAUUCAAUGGGAUUAGAGACCCCAGUAGUCCACGCCGUCAACGAUGGAGGAGAGAGACACUCCGGUGUUUCUCAGCUAAAAGCGCGAUCCUCUCGCCUGGGGAGUAAGGUCGCAAGGCUGAAACUCAAAGGAAUAGCGUGUGAGACAGACCGGCGGUGGAACAUCGCGGUUUAAUUCGAAACAACACGCAAAACCUUACCACUUCUUGCAUGUAGU
rnacentral:rRNA from 1 species